UUUAUUAAUUUUUUUAAAUGUUUAUUUAUUAUUGACAGAGAGAGACAACAUGCGCAAAGGAGGGGCAGAGAGAGGAGGAGACCCAGGAUCCGAAGCAGGCUCCAGGCUCUGAGCUGUCAGCACAGAGCCUGACGAUGUGGGGCUCGAACCCACAAACCACAAGACCCUGACCUGAGCCGGAGUCAGAUGCUUGACCGACUGAGCCACCCAGUUUCCCCAAACUCUAUACAAUCACAUGCUGUAUUCUCCUACAAUUUUAGCCAAGAUUGAGAAGACCGGACUGAAGAUCCGCUGAAAAAAGAAAGCCAGCAAGAAAGGGAUGCAAACCAAAAAUCUAAGUGACGGAAGAGAGAAUACUCUGCUUUAAGGAAGGACAUGCACUGGUGGAAAAUCUCA